rnacentral:rRNA from 1 species
AAACGGGUGGUAAUGCCGGAUGCUCCGGUUGGAUGCAUGUCCUUCCGGGAAAGGUUCCAUCGGUAUGGGAUGGGGUCGCGUCCUAUCAGCUUGAUGGCGGGGUAACGGCCCACCAUGGCUUCGACGGGUAGCCGGCCUGAGAGGGCGACCGGCCACAUUGGGACUGAGAUACGGCCCAGACUCCUACGGGAGGCAGCAGUGGGGAAUAUUGCACAAUGGGCGCAAGCCUGAUGCAGCGACGCCGCGUGCGGGAUGGAGGCCUUCGGGUUGUAAACCGCUUUUGAUCGGGAGCAAGCCCUUCGGGGUGAGUGUACCUUUCGAAUAAGCACCGGCUAACUACGUGCCAGCAGCCGCGGUAAUACGUAGGGUGCAAGCGUUAUCCGGAAUUAUUGGGCGUAAAGGGCUCGUAGGCGGUUCGUCGCGUCCGGUGUGAAAGCCCAUCGCUUAACGGUGGGUCUGCGCCGGGUACGGGCGGGCUGGAGUGCGGUAGGGGAGACUGAAU